rnacentral:sRNA from 1 species
AUACUCGAUUGAGCUCUGAGGAUAAGUUUGUUGGCUUCUAGUGUCCUCCUUGAUUAUCAUCCAAAUUUCACAGUAUUUGGGAAUAUGGGUCAGUACAUAUGUAUUUACAAUAUGCUUUGCUGCCAAUGUGGGACUGCUGUUUGGUGUUGUUUGUACCAUAGCUAUAGUGAUAGGACGCUUCCCAAGAGCAAUGACUGUAAGUAUAAAAAAUAUGAAAGAAAUGGAAUUUAAAGCGAAGACAGAAAUGGACAGUGAAACCCUGCAGCAGGUGAAAAUUAUCUCAAUAAACAACCCACUUGUUUUCCUGAAUGCAAAAAAAUUUUAUACUGAUUUAAUGAACAUAAUCCAAAAGGAAAAUGCCUGUAAUCAGCCACUUGAUGAUAUCAGCAAGUGUGAACAAAACACAUUGCUCAAUUCCCUAUCCAAUGGCAACUGCAAUGAAGAAGCUUCACAGUCCUGCCCUAAUGAGAAGUGUUCUUUAAUCCUGGAUUGCAGUGGAUUUACCUUUUUUGACUCUUCUGGAGUCUCCAUGCUUGUUGAGGUUUACAUGGACUGUAAAGGCAGGAGUGUGGAUGUAUUGU